rnacentral:misc_RNA from 1 species
GUAGGUGAACCUGCGAAAGGAUCAUUAACAAAUUAUGGUGGCAGGGUUUCCUGCUGCCGAUCCGCCUUCUCUGGCAACUGCGUCAUUGCAGUUGUAGGAACAGGGUUCUCCCGGGGCAACCCGUGGAUCUGCUGGGUAUCAACUGCGCAAGCAGUUGCCAGCAAAACAUAUAUACAUGUCUUAUACUGUCAAUCGACAACAAUACAACUUCCAACAAUGGAUCUCUAGGCUCUUGCAUCGAUGAAGAACG